CCUACGGGGGGCAGCAGUGGGGAAUAUUGCACAAUGGGGGAAACCCUGAUGCAGCGACGCCGCGUGAGUGAAGAAGUAUCUCGGUACGUAAAGCUCUAUCAGCAGGGAAGAAACUGACGGUACUUGACUAAGAAGCACCGGCUAACUACGUGCCAGCAGCCGCGGUAAUAAGUAGGGGGCAAGAGUUAUCCGGAUUUACUGGGUGUUAUGGGGGCGGAGGCGGCAGCACAAGUCUGGAGUGAAAUCCCGGGGCUUAACCCCGGAACUGCUUUGGAAACUGUGCGGCUGGAGUGCAGGAGGGGUAGACGGAAUUCCUAGUGUAGCGGUGAAAUGCGUAGAUAUUAGGAGGAACACCAGUGGCGAAGGCGGCUUACUGGACUGUAACUGACGUUGAGGCUCGAAAGCGUGGGGAGCAAACAGGAUUAGAUACCCCGGUAGUC
rnacentral:rRNA from 1 species